rnacentral:misc_RNA from 1 species
GAAAUGCGAUAAGUAAUGUGAAUUGCAGAAUUCAGUGAAUCAUCGAAUCUUUGAACGCACAUUGCGCCCGCCAGUAUUCUGGCGGGCAUGCCUGUUCGAGCGUCAUUUCAACCAUCAAGCCCCCCGGCUUGUGUUGGGGACCUGCGGCUGCCGCAGGCCCUGAAAAGCAGUGGCGGGCUCGCUGUCACACCGAGCGUAGUAGCAUACAUCUCGCUCUGGGCGUGCUGCGGGUUCCGGCCGUUAAACCACCUUCGUAAACCAAGGUUGACCUCGGAUCAGGUAGGAAGACCCGCUGAACUUAAGC